UGGCAAGUGUUUUGAACCCACUGAGC
rnacentral:piRNA from 1 species